UACGUAGGUCCCGAGCGUUGUCCGGAUUUAUUGGGCGUAAAGCGAGCGCAGGUGGUUUAUUAAGUCUGGUGUAAAAGGCAGUGGCUCAACCAUUGUAUGCAUUGGAAACUGGUAGACUUGAGUGCAGGAGAGGAGAGUGGAAUUCCAUGUGUAGCGGUGAAAUGCGUAGAUAUAUGGAGGAACAUCGGUGGCGAAAGCGGCUCUCUGGCCUGUAACUGACACUGAGGCUCGAAAGCGUGGGGAGCAAACAGG
rnacentral:rRNA from 1 species